CGCGGGGUGGAGCAGUUGGCAGCUCGUCGGGCUCAUAACCCGGAGGUCGCAGGUUCAAGUCCUGUCCCCGCAA
rnacentral:tRNA from 1 species